CAGCUUACUCUCUUUCUCAAAUUGGACGAUCGUUUACACAGACACCUGACCUGUGAUCUCUUGCCAACUGACCAUUCCCAGGAUUUGGCCCAAGAACUCGUGCAGUUUGGAUUCAUCAGCCAGGAUGACUGUCAGAAGUUGGCGAACUUUCUGGAAGAUACUUUCAGCAAGCUGCAAGGUGAAGGGGUCACAACCCUGUCACUGCAAGAGAUGACUCGAGAUUAGGGGAGAGAUCCAGACAGACACAUCCCCUGACCCACUGCAGCCUCACCCUCAACACAGGCAUCCAUCCCAGUGACAGCAGCACCAAGACUGUGUCUGCAUCCAGCCACCCCACUCACUACUCACCUCCAAACAUCUGUCUGUCAAAUACUCCCAGGACAGAGACUACACAGGGUCAGGGACAGAGUAAAGCUCACUCUACACUGUACCCCCCCA